GUCCCUGUAGUGCGAUGGAUAGCGCGUUGGACUUUUAAUACAAUUACCGUGGUUUCGAAUCCACUCUGGGAUA